AUUGAACGCUGGCGGCAGGCCUAACACAUGCAAGUCGAGCGCGCGGCGGACGGGGGAGUAAAGUAUGGGGAAUGCCCGAUAGAGGGGGAUAACUACUGUAAACGGUAGCUCAAACCGCAUACUAUAGGAUAACCCAUAUGGGAUUAGCUAGUAGGGGAGGGAAUGGAGCACCUAGGCGACGAUCCCUAGCUGGUCGGAGAGGAUGAUCAGCCACACUGGGACGGAGACACGGCCCAGACUCCUACGGAGGCAGCAGUGGGGAAUAUUGCACAAUGGGCGCAAGCCUGAUGCAGCCAUGCCGCGUGUAUGAAGAAGGCCUUAGGGUUGUAAAGUACUUUCAGUCGGGAGGCGUUACCGACAGAAGAAGCACCGGCUAACUCCGUGCCAGCAGCCGCGGUAAUUC
rnacentral:rRNA from 1 species